GAUUAAGAACGCAGCGAAAUGCGAUAAGUAAUGUGAAUUGCAGAAUUCAGUGAAUCAUCGAAUCUUUGAACGCACAUUGCGCCCGCCAGUAUUCUGGCGGGCAUGCCUGUUCGAGCGUCAUUUCAACCAUCAAGCCCCAGGCUUGUGUUGGGGACCUGCGGCUGCCGCAGGCCCUGAAAACCAGUGGCGGGCUCGCUGUCACACCGGGCGUAGUAGAUUUUAUCUCGCUCAGGGCGUGCUGCGGGUUCCGGCCGUUAAAAAGCCUUUUUUACCCAAGGUUGACCUCGGAUCAGGUAGGAAGACCCGCUGAACUUAAGCAUAUCAAAAGCGGAGGA
rnacentral:misc_RNA from 1 species